UUCCUGGUGGCUCAGACAGUAAAGAAUCUGCCUGCAGUGCAGAAGACCCAUGUUCAAUUCCUGGUUUGGAAA
rnacentral:tRNA from 1 species